GUCAGCAGACACAUCAGCAGCAGACCCUCCCUCCCAGACCCUCCCACCUCCUGGACAGCAUCCAUUUUACAUUCAUUGUGAAGCUGAAUUCUUAGUGAGCUGUCCAGGAAGUGGGAGGGUCUGGGAGGGAGGGUCUGCUGCUGAUUGGCUGGAAUG
rnacentral:miRNA from 1 species